rnacentral:rRNA from 1 species
UACGAAGGGGGCUAGCGUUGUUCGGAAUCACUGGGCGUAAAGCGCACGUAGGCGGAUUUGUCAGUCAGGGGUGAAAUCCCGGGGCUCAACCUCGGAACUGCCUUUGAUACAGCAAAUCUCGAGUCCGGAAGAGGUGGGUGGAAUUCCUAGUGUAGAGGUGAAAUUCGUAGAUAUUAGGAAGAACACCAGUGGCGAAGGCGGCCCACUGGUCCGGUACUGACGCUGAGGUGCGAAUGCGUGGGGAUCAUACAGG